CCUACGGGGGGCAGCAGUAGGGAAUAUUGCUCAAUGGGGGAAACCCUGAAGCAGCAACGCCGCGUGGAGGAUGAAGGUUUUCGGAUUGUAAACUCCUUUUGUUAGAGAAGAUAAUGACGGUAUCUAACGAAUAAGCAACGGCUAAAUCCGUGCCAGCAGCCGCGGGAAUACGGAGGGUGCAAGCGUGACUCGGAAUCACUGGGCGUAAAGAGCGCGUAGGCGGGAUAGCAAGUCAGAUGUGAAAUCCUAUGGCUUAACCAUAGAACUGAAUUUGAAACUGUUAUUCUAGAGUAUGGUAGAGGUAGGUGGAAUUCUUGGUGUAGGGGUAAAAUCCGUAGAGAUCAAGAGGAAUACUCAUUGCGAAGGCGACCUGCUAGAACAUAACUGACGCUGAUGCGCGAAAGCGUGGGGAGCAAACAGGAUUAGAUACCCGGGUAGUC
rnacentral:rRNA from 1 species